UAAAUAUAUUUGUUGAUAUCAAGAAAAGAGACAUGCUCAAAUACGCGACAGAGAGAGAGAGAGAGAUAUCCAGAGAGGUGGCAUAGACAUAUACAGCCAGAAUGGGAUCUGAAGAAGAAUUGACGUAUUUCAUUGAGAGCAGGGAGAGAGAAAGAAAAAAGGAGAGAUAAAGAGAUGAGGGAUAAUAUAAUGAAUGAUAUAACAACAUUUUGUAGAGAAUGAAGCUUAUUAAAGGAUUGAUAAUUAUCAAAUUUUUGGAGAUGAUAAUAGCAUACAAUGCCAUAUGAUUAUAAGCAGAAAGAAAGUGGGCGAGAAUAAAAACGAUGGCAGGAGAAAGACAACGCUUCAACGAGAGAGAAGAAGAGAGCACGCCAAACCUUAACCAUCCUAUUCAAUUUAUCGCCCAAUAUUUACUUUAAAAAUAAAACAGUAUUUUUCCUGGCUUGCUCAGAGCAAGUCCGCAGGACUAUCCAAACUUUUAACUGUGACUAGAAAUUUAUUUCAUCGGUAAAAAAAAUGCUCUAAUAUCUUCUCCUCGUAUUUUGCAAACUCCACCACGAAAUGAAGCGUGAAUGUGCGCUCUUUUACGUCUUUUAAUAACUAGGCGAAUAGGGCGCAGGAAAGAGGAGAGGAGAUAACUCGCCGUUAGGGUUGCUAGCGGCCCGGUAAAGUUAAUGGGGAACAGUGUACAUAAGACACACGACAUCGCGAGCACGGAGCGGUGUAGUGCCUUGUCUGUACGCCUGAACCGCUCGCCUGGCUCGCCGCCGGGCUUUCGGCGAGAUCGCGGGCUUCAGCUCGACGUGAAAGCGUUUCAGGGGUGAAAAUGUUGCUUUCGUAAGAUGGGUCUCUGUUUUUCGGGGCGAGCAUGAUUUUAAUGAAGUGCCCGGAUUAAAUGUGGUAAAUUGCUCGGUAUUGUGUGAUGAUAAUAGAGGACCGUGAGGAUGAAUAUAAACAUGUCAUAUCAUUAACAUGAUUUUGGAGUGAUGUCUGUAAUAUCAACGAAAUUGUGAACAUUGAUUGACAAGGUUUAAAUGAGAGAGAAAGAAAUACAGACACAGAGAGAGAAAGAGAGCAAAGAGGAAUAGAUACACGAGACCUAUUCGAUAGUUGAAUGUGAUCAUCAUAAUUAUUCCUGCUAAUGUAGAAUUUAUGGGUUUGCACGGAAUAAAAUGAGUAGGCCUAUUCUAAUGCAUGAAAUAUGUAAUAGAAGAAUCUGUAAUAUAUAAGCCUAUAGACAAAAUAUGUUUCAUCAAUAUAAUAACAAACUGGUAUAUAAGGUCCUCAAUGUAUUUUCACUAUGAGAACAUAGCAUAGGCCUACUAGGAAAAUGGUCACAAUAUACCAUUUUCGUAAUGAAAUCAAAUUUAAUACACAAAUCUUUCUUAAGUUUCAUGUAACAAAUUAUUUAAUUGACCUGUUAUGGAUAAUUGUAUUUUUAAAGUCAGAAUGCGAAUUGCGUACAUUACUUGUUGCUAGAUUGGACAAACAGUAUGGCUUAUCCUACCUAGAAACACGUAAUAUAUACAGUUCACAUUAAGAAUAGUAACAGGUGAAUGACAAAAAUGUAACGAGGCACGUAACGAAGAUUUGUGCAUUAAAUUAUUUGAUUACAUUACGAAAAUGGCCUAUUGUGUGGCCUCACUGUGGUUGCACACUAUAAAACUAUGUCACAUUAGCUUAUAUACAUGAAGUCUUUGCAUUCAGUAGGUCAUCGUGAAUUAAGGUUUCCAUGCUUUGUAACAUGGCGUAAAAUAAGAAUUCACAGUGUAACAUAGUGUCGAAUGAGGUUUAUACAUUGCGUGACGUAGUAUGAAAUAAGGUUUACAAACUGUGUGACGUAGUAUGAAAUAAGGUUUACACAUUGUAUGAGAUGUGUAUGAGUGUGAAAUUAGGAGUUUUUCACAACAAUUCCACAUUACAUAAUAAAGUGUGGUUUAAGCUUUUCACCCUGUGCAAUAAUCUGCGAAAUAUUUUUUGUUCUUUAACAAUGAGUGACAUAGUUGAAGUAACGUUAUCACGCUGUGUAACAUAUUGUGAAAGAAGGUUUUCCCUUGUGUCAUACAUAGUGAAGUAAGUUGAAUAGGGUUUUCACACUGUGCCACACAUUAUAAAAUCUUUUUUCUCACAUCAUCCCACAUCAUGUUACACAUUGUGACACACUGUUGCCAAUGAACUUGGAAUAAUGUUUCUUUACCUCUUUUCAUCAAAUGACUGUGAAAAUUUUGUUCUAAUCUUGAUUAAUACAGUGUAUACCUUGUCAUAUCUUUACUAAUCAAUAAAAGAGUAAUAGAACUUGAUCAAUAAAGUGCCGAGAACAUCGCAAACGUUAUCCAUCACGAGUAAAUCAUAUGGUCUUGCGGGAAAUCGGAAACACUUCAUGAAAAGAGGUAAAGAAAAAUUAUUCCAACUGUAUUGGCAACGUUAUAUAAGGUUUUCACAAUUUGCCACACUGUAAAAUACAUUUCUUCACCAAAUGUGACAUAAUUAUGAAUAAGGUUUCCUCAUUGUUAAACCAAUUAUCAAAUAAGGUCUUUAUAAAGUCAAUAUGUGUACUGAUCACACUCUGGUAAUAUCACUAUGUUAUUAAGUCUGUGAUCACAAGGCGUAUACCAUUCUGGUCAAAACUUCAUGCAUCUAAAUGAAAAGAAGAAAAAAAUAUUGUCAAACUGUGGUAAAGUGAACCAUGUGGCAUACACCCGCAGUGUUCUUCAUUAAAACUUUUAUUCAUUUUUUAUUUUUGGUAUUUAUAGCGAAAACACUAGGCCUGCCUAAUGUUGAUAACAGCAACAACAAUGAUACGAAUACAUAGAAGAAGAUUGAAUCAAAAGGAAGCUUUAGAAGAAGAAAACAAUGAAGGAAAAUGAUUAAAAAUCAAUUUGCCAUAAAGCUUGGGUCAAGAUAAUACUUUUUUCUUAUCUGCCAGUUUUCUUCUUUUUACGAGCCUUUCCUUUAUUGAUGUCCUGUGACGUAUUAUUGUGCCGAUAGUCUUUCAGCUCCAGGCAUUUAAGGCAAUUACAGAUUAGAUUUAACGCCAAUUUACUGAAAAGGCCCGAAGCAAAAGCCUGGGAGACAAUUUAAAAACACCGUAGAUUGACUGCCCGCCCGAAUGCCGUUUCUCUUUCUCCGUGCAUUAUUUUAUUUCCUGUCUUAUUUU